UCUCGAUAAAGGCAAACCUGGUGAAAACCAGCGACGCAAAACUAUAGGGACUACGGUGCAAAUGCACUAUGUCAGCCAGUUACCGAA
rnacentral:ncRNA from 2 species